GACUAUGGCCAUGCCGUCCUGAAUAAGCCCGAUUCCAUCUGAUCUUGAAAGCUAAACAGGGUCGAGCCUGGUUAGUACUUGGAUAGAGACCACCUAGGAAGACCAGGUUCUGUAGGCA
rnacentral:rRNA from 1 species